GAGAGUAUAGCUUAGUGGUAGAGGGCAUGCCUAGCAUGCACAAGGUCCUGGGUUCAGUCCCCAGUACCUCCA
rnacentral:tRNA from 1 species